rnacentral:rRNA from 1 species
UAGGGAAUCUUCCGCAAUGGGCGAAAGCCUGACGGAGCAACGCCGCGUGAGUGAUGAAGGUCUUCGGAUCGUAAAACUCUGUUAUUAGGGAAGAACAAAUGUGUAAGUAACUAUGCACGUCUUGACGGUACCUAAUCAGAAAGCCACGGCUAACUACGUGCCAGCAGCCGCGGUAAUACGUAGGUGGCAAGCGUUAUCCGGAAUUAUUGGGCGUAAAGCGCGCGUAGGCGGUUUUUUAAGUCUGAUGUGAAAGCCCACGGCUCAACAGUGGAGGGUCAUUGGAAACGGGAAAACUUGAGUGCAGAAGAGGAAAGUGGAAUUCCAUGUGGAGCGGUGAAAUGCGCAGAGAUAUGGAGGAACACCAGUGGCGAAGGCGACUUUCUGGUCUGUAACUGACGCUGAUGUGCGAAAGCGUGGGGAUCAAACAGG